UUGAACGCUGGCGGCAGGCCUAACACAUGCAAGUCGAGCGGAUGAAGGGAGCUUGCUCCUGGAUUCGGCGGCGGACGGGUGAGUAAUGCCUAGGAAUCUGCCUGGUAGUGGGGGAUAACGUCCGGAAACGGGCGCUAAUACCGCAUACGUCCUGAGGGAGAAAGUGGGGGAUCUUCGGACCUCACGCUAUCAGAUGAGCCUAGGUCGGAUUAGCUAGUUGGUGGGGUAAAGGCCUACCAAGGCGACGAUCCGUAACUGGUCUGAGAGGAUGAUCAGUCACACUGGAACUGAGACACGGUCCAGACUCCUACGGGAGGCAGCAGUGGGGAAUAUUGGACAAUGGGCGAAAGCCUGAUCCAGCCAUGCCGCGUGUGUGAAGAAGGUCUUCGGAUUGUAAAGCACUUUAAGUUGGGAGGAAGGGCAGUAAGUUAAUACCUUGCUGUUUUGACGUUACCAACAGAAUAAGCACCGGCUAACUUCGUG
rnacentral:rRNA from 1 species